rnacentral:rRNA from 1 species
AGUGAACGCUGGCGGCGUGCCUAAUACAUGCAAGUCGAACGAUGAAGUCCUAGCUUGCUAGGCUGGAUUAGUGGCGCACGGGUGAGUAAUAUAUAGUUAAUCUGCCCUACACAGAGGAACAACAGUUGGAAACGACUGCUAAUACCUCAUACUCCUAUUUGACAUAAGUUAAAUAGGGAAAGUCUUUUCGGUGUAGGAUGAGACUAUAUCGUAUCAGCUAGUUGGUAAGGUAAUGGCUUACCAAGGCUAUGACGCGUAACUGGUCUGAGAGGAUGAUCAGUCACAUUGGAACUGAGACACGGUCCAAACUCCUACGGGAGGCAGCAGUAAGGAAUAUUGCGCAAUGGGGGAAACCCUGACGCAGCAACGCCGCGUGGAGGAUGACACUUUUCGGAGCGUAAAAUCCUUUUAUCAGGAAAGAAUAAUGACGGUACCUGAUGAUUAAGCACCGGCUAACUCCGUG